AUUCUGAUUCGGACAUGCAACGAAACAAAAACGUGUUGCGAUAAAGCGAAAAGUUUUUCCAGACAACAUUUUUAUUAAAUUUCGUCAAUUCCGAAGUGUUUUCGAUAAUACAAUGCAUCGCCUUCGACUAUAUUCUUGACGAAAAUGAUUGAACCCCGGCUCGCCCCAGAGAAGCUCCGCGCUCAAGCCGGCUGAGGAAAUCCCACACAUGAUUUCCGCUGAACGGGAGGAAACCGUAUAAGUAAGGAUCACGCUGCACAAAGUCACAGCUUCAUGUCAAUCACGCUUUGCAGUAUUCGCUCGUGCCUGUGGCUCGGGCAGCCAUCCAUCUCUCCUCGUUGCGCACGAAAGUCGUCUACCAAUCGGAGAAGAUCGAUGGAAAAUGUUGUGUGCAAAAUCCUCUUUCGCGUGUGGUGUCGCGAGUAUUUGCUGGAUCAUUCCGACACGACUGAUGUCGGAAGAGGGAAUAAGCUACCCGAACGAGCGGAACCCAACGCAUCGCGACCGUGCCAGGAAGAGAUUUCCAAAACAACGGAGUCCGCUUGAUAUCGAGCUGCAGUUGAUAGUGAAACGCGUGAUAAAUAAAACGACACUAAGGCUU